rnacentral:rRNA from 1 species
CCUACGGGGGGCAGCAGUGAGGAAUAUUGGUCAAUGGACGAGAGUCUGAACCAGCCAAGUAGCGUGAAGGAUGACUGCCCUAUGGGUUGUAAACUUCUUUUAUAUGGGACUAAAAUGUUCCACGUGUGGGAUUUUGUAUGUACCAUAUGAAUAAGGAUCGGCUAACUCCGUGCCAGCAGCCGCGGUAAUACGGAGGAUCCGAGCGUUAUCCGGAUUUAUUGGGUUUAAAGGGAGCGUAGGUGGAUUGUUAAGUCAGUUGUGAAAGUUUGCGGCUCAACCGUAAAAUUGCAGUUGAAACUGGCAGUCUUGAGUACAGUAGAGGUGGGCGGAAUUCGUGGUGUAGCGGUGAAAUGCUUAGAUAUCACGAAGAACUCCGAUUGCGAAGGCAGUUCACUGGACUGCAACUGACACUGAGGCUCGAAAGUGUGGGUAUCAAACAGGAUUAGAUACCCUAGUAGUC